UACGAAGGGGGCUAGCGUUACUCGGAUUGACUGGGCGUAAAGGGCGCGUAGGCGGUUUGUACAGUCAGACGUGAAAUUCCUGGGCUCAACCUGGGGGCUGCGUUUGAUACGUGCGGACUUGAGUUCGGAAGAGGGUCGUGGAAUUCCCAGUGUAGAGGUGAAAUUCGUAGAUAUUGGGAAGAACACCGGUGGCGAAGGCGGCGACCUGGUCCAUUACUGACGCUGAGGCGCGAAAGCGUGGGGAGCAAACAGG
rnacentral:rRNA from 1 species